rnacentral:tRNA from 1 species
GCCUUCGUGCUGUAGUGGUCGGCACACUCGGCGCGUAACCGAGAGGUCCGUGGUUCGAUUCCCGGCGAAGGCG